rnacentral:lncRNA from 10 species
CUUGCCCAAGGUCAUGCACAUGGUAGGUGGCAAAACUGAGACUCAAACCAAAAGACAUUUGACUCCCAAAAGCCUGCCAUAAAAAACAGACCUAAACGAUGGUAGUGUUUGCUAUUCCUGCCCAUGGAGGGGGCGCUUUGCAAAGACUGCCCUCGUAAGACAGUUGAAGAAUCUCGCGUGCAGCUGGCAUCCUUCAGCUCCCAGGGCACAAAGAGCUGUGUCUUAUCUGUUCAGCAUCUGAACUGACUCAAGGAAGCUGCCUGGCUUAAGUCCUCCCAGGCAGGGGAGAAAGACCCUGGUCAGCUGGAAAAGAGGAAAGAAGUAAACCUGGGGGCCCGAGGAGGCCGGCAGAGCUCCUCUGUCUUCUCUCUGACUCAUCUUGCAAAGAAAACGUCCCUGGUGUUAGCCCUGUCCUCAUCCGGCUGUAGGCUGAGCUCAGGUGAACACUCUGAAGUAACUGGCACUCCACCAAAUGCUGCCCGUCAGCUCUCGGAUGCGACCCCAUGGAGGCGACCUCUGACUGUUACCCCUCAGAGUCUUGGAUCCUACAUCUGUAAAAUGGGAGUGAUGAGACGUUCCUCGUGGCACAGAGCUGAAGAGCAGGUCCCAAGUCCUUCUUCUGUGCUAAGGACUGCAACAUGUGUGGGAUGCAGAGAUGCAUUUAAUAAACAUUUAUUGAGCAUGUACUAUGUGCUGGGCACUGUUUAAAGCUGUGGGAAUAUAUUCAUGAAUUAAAAACCGGGCCAAAAUACCCAUCCACUCUAGUAUAAAGAAAAUAGAGUUGCUGUCCUCGAGGAGUUUAGAAACAGAGAUGGGUAAACGAAUCAUAGCAUAAGGUGUCACAGGUGCAAGGAGCAGAGAAGGAAAAAGGCAACAGGCAUGGGGAUAGGUGGGCGGGGUUUCAAGAGAAGCGUCAUAAAGGAGGUCACAUCUAAGCUGAAGUGAGGGGCUGUCAAAUCCUCACCUGCACUAUACACAGAGAUGCUUGGGAAAGAUGCUGGGCUUUGGCUAAUAGUGGAAUUCUCAACUCAUAAAAGGGAAGUUUCAAAGUUGGGGACUUGUGCUGCCAUAACAGAUGAAUUUCUGUGUUAACUUGAGGAGAUAAUAAAAAUUUUAAUUAAACAUCUGCUGGGUUACAAAAGGCAGCCUCAUGAAAAAG